rnacentral:rRNA from 1 species
AGUUAAAAAGCUYGUAGUUGGAUUUCUGGCAGGAGCGACGGGCCGUGCACUCUGUGCGUGAACUUGGUUGUCUCUGGCCAUCCUUGGGGAGAUCCUGUUUGGCAUUAAGUUGUCGGGCAGGGGAUACCCAUCGUUUACUGUGAAAAAAUUAGAGUGUUUAAAGCAGGCUUAUGCCGUUGAAUAUAUUAGCAUGGAAUAAUAAGAUAGGACUUUGGAACUAUUUUGUUGGUUUGCGUUACAAAGUAAUGAUUAAUAGGGACAGUUGGGGGUAUUCGUAUUUCGUUGUCAGAGGUGAAAUUCUUGGAUUUCCGAAAGACGAACUACUGCGAAAGCAUUUACC